rnacentral:rRNA from 1 species
AUUGAACGCUGGCGGCAUGCCUAACACAUGCAAGUCGAACGGGGCAGCAAUGCCUAGUGGCGGACGGGUGAGGAAUACGUAGGAAUCUGCCCUUAAGUGGGGGAUAACCAGGGGAAACCCUGACUAAUACCGCAUGAUCUCUUCGGAGCAAAGAGGGGGACCGCAAGGCCUCUCGCUUCGGGAUGAGCCUACGUCUGAUUAGCUAGUUGGUAGGGUAAAGGCCUACCAAGGCGACGAUCAGUAACUGGUCUGAGAGGAUGAUCAGUCACACCGGAACUGAGACACGGUCCCGACUCCUACGGGAGGCAGCAGUGGGGAAUAUUGGACAAUGGGCGCAAGCCUGAUCCAGCAAUGCCGCGUGUGUGAAGAAGGCCUUCGGGUUGUAAAGCACUUUAGCCUGGAAAGAAAAAACUUUGGUUAACACCCAAAGUCUUGACGGUACCAGGAGAAUAAGCACCGGCUAACUCUGUGCCAGCAGCCGCAGUAACAC